rnacentral:rRNA from 1 species
UACGUAGGUGGCAAGCGUUGUCCGGAUUUACUGGGCGUAAAGAGCGCGCAGGCGGUCGUUCAAGUCGCGUGUGAAAGCCCCCGGCUCAACUGGGGAGGGUCACGCGAUACUGAUCGACUCGAAGGCAGGAGAGGGAAGUGGAAUUCCCGGUGUAGUGGUGAAAUGCGUAGAUAUCGGGAGGAACACCAGUGGCGAAGGCGACUUCCUGGCCUGUUCUUGACGCUGAGGCGCGAAAGCUAGGGGAG